rnacentral:rRNA from 1 species
AGAGUUUGAUCCUGGCUCAGGAUGAACGCUGGCGGCGUGCCUUAGGCAUGCAAGUCGAAUGGUCCGAUUUAUCGGACCAUGGCAGACGGGUGAGUAACGCGUAGGAAUCUACCCCAAAGCGGGGGAUAAUUCCGCGAAAGCGGAACUAAUACCGCAUAUGUCCGUAAGGACAAAGGGCGUAACUGCCCACUUUGGGAUGAGCCUGCGUCCUAUCAGCUUGUUGGUGAGGUAACGGCUCACCAAGGCGAUGACGGGUAGGGGGUGUGAGAGCACGGCCCCCCACAAGGGCACUGAGACACGGGCCCUACACCUACGGGUGGCAGCAACCAGGAAUAUUGCGCAAUGGGCGAAAGCCUGACGCAGCGACGCCGCGUGGAGGAUGGAGGUUUUCGGAUCGUAAACUCCUUUUUACAGAGAGAAAAAAAAUGAUAGUACCUGUAGAAUAAGCACCUGCAAACUACGUGCCAGCAGCCGCGGUAAUACGUAGGGUGCAAGCGUUAUCCGGAUUUACUGGGCGUAAAGAGUAUCGUAGGCGGCUUCUCAAGUCACGGGUUAAAGCCCUUUGCUUAACGAAGGAUCAGCCCGUGAUACUGAAAAGCUUGAAUUGGGUAGGGGGUGCUGGAAUUCCUGGUGGAGGAGUGAAAUCCGUUGAGAUCAGGAAGAACACCGAGGGCGAAGGCAGGCACCUAAGCCACAAUUGACGCUGAUGAACGAAAGCUAGGGGAGCGAAAGGGAUUAGAGACCCCUGUAGUCCUAGUUGUAAACAAUGCCUACUAGCUGCCCCGAUUUUAUCGGGAUGGCGUAAGCUAACGCGUUAAGUAGGCCGCCUGGGAAGUACGGCCGCAAGGCUAAAACUCAAAGGAAUUGACGGGGGAGCGCACAACCAGUGGAGCAUGUGGUUCAAUUCGAUACGAAGCGAUAGACCUUACCUGGGUUUGACAUCUUAGUGACAUUUCCGGGAAACCGGAACUUCCGCAAGGACAUUAGGACAGCUGCUGCAUGGCUGUCGUCAGCUCGUGUCGUGAGACGUACGCUUAAGUGCGGUAACGAGCGCAACCCUCAUGCUAAGUUAAAUAUUCUUAGCAAACUGCCUCUGCUUUUGCGGGGGAGGAAGGAGAGGAUGACGUCAAGUCAGCACGGCGCUUAUGCCCAGGGCCACACACAUCCUACAAUGGGAAGGACAAUGGGUUGCCAAGCCGUAAGGCGGAGCUAAUCCCAUCAAACCUUCCCCCAGUUGGGAUUGAGGGCUGAAACUCGCCCUCAUGAACUCGGAAUUGGUAGUAAUCGCGGAUCAGCAGACCGCGGUGAAUACGUUCUCGCUCCUUGUACACACUGCCCGUCAACUGAGGAAAGUCGGGAGCGCCCGAAGC